rnacentral:rRNA from 1 species
GACGAACGCUGGCGGCGUGCCUAAUACAUGCAAGUAGAACGCUGAAGAGAGGAGCUUGCUCUUCUUGGAUGAGUUGCGAACGGGUGAGUAACGCGUAGGUAACCUGCCUGGUAGCGGGGGAUAACUAUUGGAAACGAUAGCUAAUACCGCAUAAAAUUGAUUAUUGCAUGAUAAUUAAUUGAAAGAUGCAACUGCAUCACUACCAGAUGGACCUGCGCUGUAUUAGCUAGUUGGUGAGGUAACGGCUCACCAAGGCGACGAUACAUAGCCGACCUGAGAGGGGGAUCGGCCACACUGGGACUGAGACACGGCCCAGACUCCUACGGGAGGCAGCAGUAGGGAAUCUUCGGCAAUGGGGGGAACCCUGACCGAGCAACGCCGCGUGAGUGAAGAAGGUUUUCGGAUCGUAAAGCUCUGUUGUAAGAGAAGAACGGGUGUGAGAGUGGAAAGUUCACACUGUGACGGUAUCUUACCAGAAAGGGACGGCUAACUACGUG